GGGGCGUGUCGCGAGCCGCCCCCUCACCCCCGUCGGGGUCACCAAAACUCCCGGAGGCCUUUCCCCGGGGCGGCCGGGGGCCUGUUACCAGCAGUCGCCGCCCUGCCUUGACUGCCUGGGUGAAUCAGGUGCUAACCCCGGAGCCUGGUCUUGCGGCUCCCCUGCCUGGGUUUUCUGAGUGCGACCGAUUUAGGCAGGGUGGGGGGAUUCCUGCGGCCCUGCCCCACCCACGAAGACCGAGAAGGCUCGCCGGUGGAGAAAGGUGGGCUCGGUGACUCAUCUCUGGGAUGACCUAACCUCCCCAACCUGGCAGAGCAGCUGUCCGGACUCAGCCCUCAUACCGUGACUGUGGACGUCUAGUGUGCCCCCUUCUGAUUAUAAACUGGCUCUGAGCCGUCCUGGAAGACAUGGGUGUCCAGUGGGCUGCUUGAAGCCAUGCAGCGCAGCAGGACUGUGGGGAUGGGCCCUUCGAUGAUCUCGCCCUUUGAAAGACCACCAAUUUCCAGCCCUCCGAGCAGUAUUCUGAUUAUGAACUUGUUUUCCUUCUUCUAUUUAAGAGGUUUGGGGACCUUAGAUCUCAGAGCACAGGUAUCCGGAGAGUGUGGAGUCAGAAAAACAGCAAGAGGAAUGAAUAUCCAGGAAGCAAGUCAUCAAGCGGAGCCCACACACAGCAGGAAGCUGGGGCAGGAGGCAAGAUAAAGCUGUACCUCCUGGAGGGCCAAGUGUCUGCAUAACUGUCAUUCUUCUUCACUGUCAGGGAGGUGAACCUGAUUAACAAGGAAGAUUUGUAGCCUGUGCUUGAAGAUCACAUGCAUCGCCAAGCUCGAGAUGAGAACAUGAGAUGACUCAGUGCAAAUCUUUGCCACAACUGGAACCAAGAGCACGUGUGGGACUCUGAGGAGGGCCUUGUCCUCCCCCUGUGCCUGAGUCACGAUCCUCAUGAAUGGACCACUCACCAUGCUGGACGUGGGAGAGUGUGGGUUUCUGUGGGGGAGUGUGUUCUGUAAAAUGGAAAUAUAAGAGAGCCAAACUCAGAAUCAUUUGAAGCCCGGUGAAAAGGAAUCUUAGGUUUUGUGUUUCCUGCCUUGGUAGAAAGAGAUCAGUCAGAGAAAAAAAGUUCAUAUCAAGAAUUUUUUUUUCCUUCAAAACCUGAAACAAACCAACCAUAAGUAAAACAGAGAAUUUCAAGCUUCAACUCAACUUACUUGUUUACUUCCUGUUCAUUCCAGAUUGUCAGGAAAAACAGAUCGUCAAAGUGGUACUCCAUGGUGUAUGUGUACUGAACUGCGUACAAGCCUAUGUCCUUGUGUUUUCAAGCAAAAACCUUUUCAUUUAAGCCUUUAGCCUCCCAGGCCUCAAGAUUUGAAAAUGAGGAAAUACUGAUACAGCUACAAACUAGUUGAAACAGUCUCCAUUAUGCUAGGACUUGCCUUGACCCACUAACUUACUCAAACUAGCCUUUCACAAAUGAUUUCCUCCUUGCUUAAUUGCUUUCUUUUACUAAUGAUUACUUUCUAGUUAAGGUUAUAUUGUAUGCCUAGUGUUUUCUUUUCCUUUGAGACACUCCCUAAGUCCCCAUUCCUUCCAUGAGCCAUCUUCUCUGCAGAGAGAAGGUCAAGGCGAGAUAACCCCAAAGACCACCAGAAACCAUCACUGGACACAUGACUUGAGCCUUGAUGAUUCUGAGGUGGUCUUUGGAGGGAGAAGAAUACAGGCACCUUGAUCCCUAUCAACAGCCCUUUUGUCUUCCAAGCUAAACCUAUAAAAAUCCCUUGCUAUCCCCUCUCAAGAGAGGACACUGUUUUUAGGGCAUUAGCCUGCUGUGGCCUCCUUUGCCUGGCAAAGCAAUAAAGUUGUCCUCUCUACUUCACCCCAAACUCUUGCCUCCAAGUCUUAUUUGAUGCUGGUGUACAGAGGCUGGUUUUCAGCUACAGUAGUACCACAUCUUCUUGAUCCAUUCAGUGGAACACUACUCAGCCAUAAAUAAGAAUGAAAUAAAGCCAUUUGCAGCAACAUGGAUGCAACUAGAUAUUCUCAUACUAAAUGAAGUAAGUUAGAAAGACAAAUAUUAUAUGAUAUCACUUCUGUGUGGAAUCUAAAAUAUGGCACAAAUGAACUUAUCUGCAGAACAGAAACAGAUUCACAGACAUACAGAAUAGACUUGUGGCUGCCAAGGGGAAGGGGGAAGGGAGUGGGAUGGACGGGAAGUUUGGGCUUAGUAGAUGCAACUUUUGCCUUUAGAAUGGAUAAGCAAUGAGGUUCUGCUCUAUAGCACAGGGAACUAUAUCCAAUCUCCUGGGAUAGAACAUGACGGAGGAUAAUGUGAGAAAAAGAAUACAUAUGUGCAUGGCUGGGUAACUUUGCUGUACAGCAGAAAUUGGCACAACAUUGUAAAUCAACUGUACUUUAAUAAAACAAUUUUUAAGAAUGGU
rnacentral:lncRNA from 1 species